UACGUAGGGGGCAAGCGUUGUCCGGAAUCAUUGGGCGUAAAGCGCGCGUAGGCGGCUUUUUAAGUCAGGGGUGAAAUCCUGGAGCUCAACUCCAGAACUGCCUUUGAUACUGAGGAGCUUGAGUUCGGGAGAGGUGAGUGGAACUGCGAGUGUAGAGGUGAAAUGCGCAGAUAUCGGGAGGAACACCAGUGGCGAAGGCGGCGAUCUGGGUAGAUACUGACGCUGAGGUGCGAAAGCGUGGGGAGCAAACAGG
rnacentral:rRNA from 1 species